GGGGCACAGGCCUUCUCCCGAAGGCCGGCGGAAAGAGCCGAAGGGAGGGAGUGAGGUCGAGGCAAGGCGGAAAAAGCCGAAGGCAGAGGAGCGAGAGACGGAAAAAGCCGAGAAACAGGGUCACUGAAGAUAUAAUGAACUAAAUGAAGAUGCGUUCACACCGCACCCUCUCGGUGGGAGUAGCGUCGAGGGGUUGCUGAAGAUCGAGCAUGGGGAAUAGAAGAUCGACACGGCUGUAGCCAUCUGUGCAAAAUGCAAUCGGCCUCAGCGCUAAUCAAGAGAACAUCCUGCAUGCCCUUGUUGCGAUAAUCGUUUCCUUCAUUGGCGUCGUUUAACCCAGCGAAUAUUUGGAGUUAAAUAUAGACAUUUUCAAGUG